GUGGGUAUAGCUCAGUGGUAGAGCAUAUGCUUGGCAUGUACAAGGUCCUGGGUUCGAUCCCCAGUGCUUCCG
rnacentral:tRNA from 1 species